GCUCCCGCUGCCAGCCGCCCUCCUACUGGUCUGUGGCCACCACCAACCGCAGCGAGGUUCCCGUACUGACGUGUCGAGGUGGUCGCAUCCCGGCGUAGAGGACUAGGAAUCGGGAGUCACUGGCCGUAUGCUGGAGGCUGGAGACGCGGGAGCGUGGCUUGCCUCGCUGCGGUUGUUGGCAGCGAUGGAGAUGGCGCGGCUGGAGAGGUAUUUUAUGAACCACUUCAGAAAGCUUUCAUCAAGCUCAGGUUUAAGCUGAUGACCUAAAAUUACAUGAAGUUCCUAAAAUUAUAUGAAGAAAAUCUAUCCUGUUAUGAGGCUGGCCAGAAGGAUAACCGGAGAAUCUCCAGCUAUGUCAUCAGCUUCCCAGAUAAGCCAUGGUCAGGGGCCCUUCCUCUAAGCUUCCUGGGACUCCAUGGAUAGGUGAGGCUUCUGGGCAGCAGUCGCUCAUCUUUCUGUCCCACUUCAGCUGCAGUGAGAAGAGAUAAAGGGAACACUGCAUAUUGAGCCUCAUUUAGUUUUGUCAUGCACUGUGCUUUUGAAAAAAGGCAAAUAAUUGUCAACAUGUAAAAACUGAGAAGGUUCAUACUAAAAAUAGAUUCUGAUUUUUCUAAAAAAAAAAACACUGAGUUUGGAUUCAUGCUGUCUUGGAUAAUAGACAUCAAUUUCUUUUUUUUUUUUUUUGAGACAGAGCCUCACUCUGUUGCCCGGGCUGGAGUACAAUGGCACAAUCUCGGCUCACUGCAACCUCUGACUCCUGGGUUCAAGUGAUUCUCCUGCCUCAGCCUCCUGAGUAGCUGGGAUUACAGGCAUGUGCCACUACGCCCAGCUAGUUUUUGUAUUUUUAAUAGACAGGGUUUCGCCAUGUUGGCCAGGCUGGUCUUGAACUGCUGACAUCAGGUGAUCCACCCGCCUCAGCCUCCCAAAGUUCUGGGAUUACAGGCGUGAGCCACUGCGUCCGGCCCAGACAUCAACUUCUAAAAAGUCAUCGGGUAAAUUGAUGGAGAUUGCAUACUUAGAUCUAAGAGUUUAAUUGCUGACACUACUUCAGCUAUAAGCAUUAGCAGAAAGUAAAAAAUGUAUGCUUUUGAAGGGGUUCAGAGUUUGGGGGUUCAGAGUAUGAUGCUCCAAAACAUGCCACUGUAGCAUUGGAUUUAUUCUGAGCUAAAGGCAGUUGAGAAAAAGCAGACACAGGAUGAGCCCUUUGCCCUCCCUCUCUAUGCCUGAAAAGUAAAAUACAAAUUCCCCUUGAAAAGAAGUCCCUCCCCAUUCCUGUGUCAAGAAGGGAAUAAUGACCUUAUCACUGGAGAUGAGAUGGCACCCAGAAAGAGCCUAGACAAACAAACCCCGCUAACUAGCACUUACUGUCCAUUAGCUUCCCUGUAGAUUUACCCCCUCGUGAUUGGCCAUCCCUAGAAACUCAAAGGUUUUUUUCCUUUGUCUUAUUACUUCUCUGCAAAUGUAUUGUUCUUUAUGAAGAUGCCACAUAAACCCACGAUGGAACCACUCCUUUGAGUUACUCAUCUCUGAGUGCUCCCAUGUGAAUACAUGGUGCAUAUGUUAACAAACUUCUCUUCGUUUUCCUCUUGCUAAUCUGUCUUUUAUCAGUCUAAUUUGCAGGACCCCAUUCAAUGAACCUAAGAUGAGCAGAGGAAAAAAAUAACAGUUUUCCCUUCCCUAUAGUUUCUUAUGAAAUAUUCUUUUGUUGAGCAACUGACUUGAAUAUUUUGAUACUUCCAGAUUAAAAGUAUUCCUUAUGUGCAAAGAAAUACAAAUGGUUAUUGUUAGAGGAGGUAUUAAAUGCAUUGAUUGAAUUAUAUUAUUUUAUAGGUCUUAUUCAUCACAUUAAAAGUUUUGAAAGAUCAAUAUGUGUUCUUGUUUAACUAAAAAGAGAAGACAGAUGUUAAUAACAAUUCACUUAUUAAACUAAUUCUGUUAUGUUGUUAAUUAAAUUUUUUUUUCUUCAAAAUAACCCCUAGGGACGCAUUAAAAAAGUCAUUAAGGGCCAGGCACAGUGGCUCAUGCCUGUAAUCCCAGCACUUUGGGAGGCCAAAGUGGGUGGAUCACCUAAGGUCAGGAGUUCAAGACCAGCCUGGCCAACAUGGAGAAACCCCAUCUCUACUAAAAAUAUAAAAAAUUAGCC
rnacentral:lncRNA from 1 species